UACUGCGUGCACUGCAAGGACUGUGGAUGUAUUUUUUUAUGGCAGAAAUCUAAUUUGUUGAAUGCCUCUUUUCAGGAUUAUCCUACCACCGUCACACGGCCUAGCACUGUGUCCCUGGGAAAUGAUGAUGCCAUACCCCUAGGUGUCAACUCUAGUUUGGUGGAGGAGAACCCAUUUGGGGCCCAGGAAAAUAGCUGGCCAGGCA